GGCCUCCUGGUGCUUCCCACAGGCUGUGUUCUUCACACAACUGUAUAGAAAGAGGAAGCACGGUAAAUGUACCCCAUAUUCACCUCAGCCCAGGCCUUUUGCCUGGUUUGUAUUGUGAAUGGGGAAACAUGA